GAUGAACGCUAGCGCAGGUCUUAAUACAUGCAAGUCAAGGGGUAGCAAUACAACCGGCGCACGGUGAGUAACGCGUACACAACAUACCAUAUACGUGGGGUAUAGCUUUGGGAAAACUGAAGGUAAUCCCCCAUAACAUUGCGAGAGGGCAUCUGAUUGCAAUUAAAGUUUCGGCGGUAUAUGAUUGGUGUGCGUUUGAUUAGCUAGUUGGUAGGGUAACGGCCUACCAAGGCGACGAUCAAUAGCUGGCGUGAGAGCGCGACCAGCCACACUGGAACUGAGACACGGUCCAGACUCCUACGGGAGGCAGCAGUAGGGAAUAUUGGACAAUGGGCGCAAGCCUGAUCCAGCCAUGCCGCGUGAUAGAUGAAGGCCCUCUGGGUUGUAAAUAUCUUUUAUCUGGGAAGAAACUCCUCUAUUCUUAGAGGCCUGACGGUACCAGAGGAAUAAGCACCGGCUAACUCCGUG
rnacentral:rRNA from 1 species